AAUAAUUGGGAUUUGGGGGCGAACUGACAAAUAGUUGGGGGCGAACAAGCAAACAGUUGGGGGCGAACUGGUACAUGGGGCGAACAGGUCAAACUGGGGGCAAAACAUCAUGGAUUCAUUGUCUAUACAAAAAGUAAGUUUGUUUUGUUUAAAGAAACCACUAGAGCAUAUUGAUUUAUUAAUCAUUGGCUAUUGGAUGUCAAACAGGUAAUUUUGACAUAUAAUUUUUGAGAGGGAACCUGCUAAAAACUAAUUAGUAGCAAUGUAUUUUUAUCUAUGCACCAUCCCACAAACAGGAUAGCACUUACCAAGAUGAAAUACCAUACGAAAUCGUGCAACAAUUGCCGAUCGAUGCAUAUUUAUUGUUUGCUGAGAAUAUAUAUAAAAUUAAAACAUUAUAUUUUGUGUUACUUGUUUACUCUCAGUUCACUUCACCCCCAACUGUCGGUAUGGAUGCCCCCAAAUAUUUACAACACAUCUUUGGUUGCAUUUUGUAUUUAUAUUAUAAAAAUUGUUUCAUAUUACUUUGACUGGGGUGUGGUAUCAAGCCUUUUCUCCCCAUGCCAGUUAAUUUCUUUUCAAAAGGCUUGUCUUCUCUUAUGAAAAAAAAUAAAACUCUUAAACUGACACAGGAACAUUUUUGGAUAGGAUAUUGACAUACCUUUGGGCAUUUACUUUGAUUACAAGAAACACAAGUUAUAGAUAUAUAUAUAUAUUUUUUUUUUCAGAACAAUCGUCAGCACAUUCUGGUCAUCAUAUUAUGGAAAUAUUUGUGACUGAAUCCCAUCUGAAUGUUGGAUGACAUAUAUCAAGAUGACACUGAACAGGACAUAACUGAGGAAAAUGGAUGUGAGAGAAUCCAAUCUAACAGUUGGAAAUAAAUAUAUAUAUU